UACGAUGAAGAGUUUGAUCCUGGCUCAGGAUGAACGCUAGCGGCAGGCUUAACACAUGCAAGUCGAGGGGUAGAGGAAGCUUGCUUCCUUGAGACCGGCGCACGGGUGCGUAACGCGUAUGCAACCUACCUUGAACAGGGGGAUAGCCCAGAGAAAUUUGGAUUAAUACCCCAUGGUAUUAUGGGAUGGCAUCAUUUCAUUAUUAAAGUCACAACGGUUCAAGAUGGGCAUGCGUCCCAUUAGCUAGAUGGUAAGGUAACGGCUUACCAUGGCAACGAUGGGUAGGGGUCCUGAGAGGGAGAUCCCCCACACUGGUACUGAGACACGGACCAGACUCCUACGGGAGGCAGCAGUGAGGAAUAUUGGUCAAUGGGCGCAAGCCUGAACCAGCCAUGCCGCGUGCAGGAUGAAGCAUCUAUGGUGUGUAAACUGCUUUUGUACGGGAAGAAACACCGGUUCGUGAACCGGCUUGACGGUACCGUAAGAAUAAGGAUCGGCUAACUCCGUGCCAGCAGCCGCGGUAAUACGGAGGAUCCAAGCGUUAUCCGGAAUCAUUGGGUUUAAA
rnacentral:rRNA from 1 species